rnacentral:lncRNA from 1 species
CAUAGUAUUUCUUUAUAUUCUCAGAAUUGGAUUAUAUAUGCCUUUGAACUAUGCCUUUGAAUAGUCAGAGGAAGCUGAAUCUCUAGAAGUGAGACUGUUCGGCAUCCCUAAAAACACUGGCACUACCUAUGAAUAAGACAGGAAACCACAAGAAAAAGAAUACUUGAAAGACAGCUAGAUACGACUGAAAGGGAGUGACACUACAGGCAAAAGUGCUUUCUGAGUGCCAGCGAUGGUGCUGGGGCGCCGAGAAAAGGACGAUCUGAAUGCAGCGUACUGAUUGGUUUCACGUCCAAGAGCCUCUUAUGCUUUCUGCAUCUUUCAAACUCGGAUGCUUGCCUGGCUUGUGGUACUCUGAAUUGGGCGAGACGAGCAAACCGUGUAUUAGCAGCCAUUGCAGCCUGAAGCUUUGCUUUAUCUCAUCUGGGACUUAUCAUGCUGCUGUGCAUUGAAUUUAGGAAUAAACAAGAGGGAAAAACAAGAAGAGAAACA